AUUGAACGCUGGCGGCAGGCUUAACACAUGCAAGUCGAGCGAGCGGCGGACGGGUGAGUAAUGUCUGGGACACUGCCUGAUGGAGGGGGAUAACUACUGGAAACGGUAGCUAAUACCGCAUACCAUCAGAUGUGCCCAGAUGGGAUUAGCUAGUAGGUGUGGUAAAGGCUCACCUAGUCGACGAUCCCUAGCUGUUCUGAGAGGAUGACCAGCCACACUGGAACUGAGACACGGUCCAGACUCCUACGGGAGGAAGCAGUGGGGAAUAUUGCACAAUGUGCGAAAGCCUGAUGCAGCCAUGCCGCGUGUGUGAAGAAGGCCUUCGGGUUGUAAAGCACUUUCAGCGAGGAGGCGUUACUCGCAGAAGAAGCACCGGCUAACUCCGUGCCAGCAGCCGCGGUAAUUC
rnacentral:rRNA from 1 species